rnacentral:rRNA from 1 species
GAUGAACGCUAGCUACAGGCUUAACACAUGCAAGUCGAGGGGAAACGACAUUGGAAGCUUGCUUCCGAUGGGCGUCGACCGGCGCACGGGUGAGUAACGCGUAUCCAACCUGCCCACCACUUGGAGAUAACCUUGCGAAAGUAAGACUAAUACCCAAUGACGUCUCUAGAAGACAUCUGAAAGAGAUUAAAGAUUUAUCGGUGAUGGAUGGGGAUGCGUCUGAUUAGCUUGUUGGCGGGGUAACGGCCCACCAAGGCGACGAUCAGUAGGGGUUCUGAGAGGAAGGUCCCCCACAUUGGAACUGAGACACGGUCCAAACUCCUACGGGAGGCAGCAGUGAGGAAUAUUGGUCAAUGGGCGAGAGCCUGAACCAGCCAAGUAGCGUGCAGGAUGACGGCCCUAUGGGUUGUAAACUGCUUUUAUAAGGGAAUAAAGUGAGCCUCGUGAGGCUUUUUGCAUGUACCUUAUGAAUAAGGACCGCUAAUUCCGUG